GGACUACUAGGGUAUCUAAUCCUGUUUGCUCCCCACGCUUUCGUAGUUGAGUGUCAGUCACUGUCCAGCAAGCCGCCUUCGCCUCUGGUGUUCCUCCCGAUCUCUACGCAUUUCACCGCUACACCGGGAAUUCCACUUGCCUCUCCAGUACUCUAGUCUCACCGUUUCUGGGGCACUUCUUGAGUUAAGCCCAAGGAUUUCACCCCAGACAAAUGAGACCACCUACCUACCCUUUACGCCCAAUAAUUCCGAGCAACGCUUGCACCCUCCGUAUUACCGCGGCUGCUGGCAC
rnacentral:rRNA from 1 species